rnacentral:rRNA from 1 species
CUGACUGGUGGGAUGGCUUAUGCCUGCACCAUCGACCGACCAUGAUCUUCUGUGAAAGGUUUGAGUACGAGCAUACCUGUUGGGACCCGAAAGAUGGUGAACUAUGCCUGAGCAGGGCGAAGCCAGAGGAAACUCUGGUGGAGGCUCGUAGAUGUGCUGACGUGCAAAUCGCUUUUCGGACUUGGGUAUAGGGGCGAAAGACUACUAGUAGCUGGUUCCCUCCGAAGUUUCCCCCAGGAUAGCUGGAGCUUGAUCAGUUUUAUCGGGUAAAGCGAAUGAUUAGAGGUACCGGGGAUGAAACAUCCUCGACCUAUUCUCAAACUUUAAAUAGGUAAGACGUCUGGGUUGCUUAAUUGAACCCAGGCAUUCAAUGAGAGCUCCAAGUGGGCCAUUUUUGGUAAGCAGAACUGGCGAUGCGGGAAG